rnacentral:rRNA from 1 species
CCUACGGGAGGCUGCAGUAGGGAAUAUUGGGCAAUGGACGCAAGUCUGACCCAGCCAUCCCGCGUGAAGGAAGAAGGGUCUCUGACUCGUAAACUUCUUUUAUUGGGGAAGAAAAAGUCUGAUUCAUCAGAAACUGACGGUACCCAAUGAAUAAGCACCGGCUAACUCCGUGCCAGCAGCCGCGGUAAUACGGAGGGUGCAAGCGUUAUCCGGAUUCACUGGGUUUAAAGGGUGCGUAGGCGGUCCGAUAAGUCAGUGGUGAAAGCCCGCAGCUUAACUGCGGAAUUGCCAUUGAAACUGCCGGACUUGAAUCUGGUUGAAGUGGGCGGAAUAUAUCAUGUAGCGGUGAAAUGCUUAGAUAUGAUGUAGAACACCGAUUGCGAAGGCAGCUCACUAAGCCAACAUUGACGCUGAGGCACGAAAGCGUGGGUAGCGAACAG